GACGAACGCUGGCGGCGUGCCUAAUACAUGCAAGUAGAACGCUGAAGAGAGGAGCUUGCUCUUCUUGGAAGAGUUGCGAACGGGUGAGUAACGCGUAGGUAACCUGCCUUGUAGCGGGGGAUAACUAUUGGAAACGAUAGCUAAUACCGCAUAACAAUGGAUGACCCAUGUCAUUUAUUUGAAAGGGGCAACUGCUCCACUACAAGAUGGACCUGCGUUGUAUUAGCUAGUAGGUGGGGUAACGGCUCACCUAGGCGACGAUACAUAGCCGACCUGAGAGGGUGAUCGGCCACACUGGGACUGGGAGACGGCCCAGACUCGUACGGGAGGCAGCAGUAGGGAAUCUUCGGCAAUGGGGGCAACCCUGACCGAGCAACGCCGCGUGAGUGAAGAAGGUUUUCGGAUCGUAAAGCUCUGUUGUAAGUCAAGAACGAGUGUGAGAGUGGAAAGUUCACACUGUGACGGUAGCUUACCAGAAAGGGACGGCUAACUACGUGCCAGCCGCCGCCGUAA
rnacentral:rRNA from 1 species